UGAGGAAUAUUGCGCAAUGGGCGAAAGCCAGACGCAGCAACGCCGCGUGGAGGAAGACGGCCUUCGGGUUGUAAACUCCUUUUCUGGGGGAAGAAGCUGACGGUACCCCAGGAAGAAGUCUCGGCUAACUACGUGCCAGCAGCCGCGGUCAAACGUAGGAGACGAGCGUUAUCCGGAUUUACUGGGCGUAAAGCGCGUGCAGGCGGUUGGGAAAGUCGUGAGUGAAAGCUCCUGGCUUAACUGGGAGAGGUCGUACGAAACUACCCGGCUAGAGGGCAGGCGAGGGGUGCGGAAUUCCGGGUGUAGUGGUGAAAUGCGUAGAUAUCCGGAGGAACACCAGUGGCGAAGGCGACACCCUGGACUGUACCUGACGCUCAGACGCGAAAGCAUGGGGAGCGAACGG
rnacentral:rRNA from 1 species